GAGCGCGCGGGGCCGCGCCGCCGACAGCGGGUACGGUCCGGAGGGACGGAGCGGCUCCUGCGAGACGGCUGGGGCGGGGCGGGGAGGGGCGGGGCGGGGCGGGGCGGGGCGGGGCGGGGAAGCCCGGGCGCCGGGCGGCGCGGGACCUCGGGUCCCCGGCCGUGGCUGCGUGGGAAGCGGCUCAACUCGGUGCACUUGUUCACUCUUUCUUCAUUGGAGGAGGAGCCAGUGUUGCAACCUUCAUGUUCCUUGCUGGAGGCAAAACAGUGAUUUUCUGCAGCAGGCGAAUGUCCAGAGCCUGCCAGUUUUGCGAGAACCCCGGAGGAGUAUCAAGGAGAUAUUCUAAAGGGAGCCUCUCAAGUUUCAAAACCAGAAGUUACUGGAACUCUGGGCUUUCCUCCUUUGAGGCCACUUUUGCUACCAUCCCGGAAUUACUGGCGAGUGAUAUUCAUUGGCGGCCACUUACCAGGAUGCAGGAAGACGUUAGAAAUCCCAGGAUGCUCUGGUGAUCCUUCUGGACUAGAGACCCCCAGAAAACAGGCCAGGAUGCCCGAGUGGGUGAGAGACUGCACAGAGAAGAGACAAGACUGCCACCUCCUCUGCAAACCUCACAGAAAUGACUCCACUGUCAGGAUUUCCUGGAGGGCCACCUUUGCACAUAUGUUUGAGAAGGGAAAAACCUACCAGCUGAUAUUCCUCAAAGUUGCAUUGAGAGAACAUCUGUCUCAGCAAAGUGUUAUUCUAGAUGAGCACCUGACUAUUUCUGAAAGUAACACACACUUGAGGAAAAGAUCUCCCAUUCUCUGUGUAUCCUGCUAAUUAAAGCUUUCUGCAAUGACAAGAUGAUACUGUGGAAUGACUUUUUAAAUUGUUUUUUCAAGGAACUGCCAACGUUUAACUAGGCUUCAGCUAACAGACUUUAAGUUAAGACAAAUGGCUCUGCCGUGGCUAAUCGUUAGCAUAUGCUGAUGUGGGAGCAUCUGACUACAGCGGGAGUCUGUCCUCGUGAAUUAUGCUGUGGGUGGCUAGAAUGACCCAGACGGCCCGUCUGUCCCUGCUUGCAAGCACCCAAACUACCUGUCUGGGUUGAGUAAUCCCCUCAUCACAUUGCCCGAGCUUACCCCUUCUGAGUUCGAGCUAAACUGGUAUGGAGUGAAGGCCUAGGAUCUUAUUAUCAAAUGAUUCAGUGAUAACAACUUUCAUUUGUCCAAAGCAGACUUACCUCCAUGAUAUCAGAAGGCCUUAGAAAACAUACCACAGUAGAGCUGGAGUGAAGCCCAGAGAAUGUUUGUACCAACUCACAGUUUGGUAGGAACGAAUGAAGGAGCAGAGAGGAGGAAUGACUUGCCCAAAGUCACUCGAUUUUAGAACGGAGCAGGGGCUAAUUUUGAGUCUUCUGCUUGUGUCCCCCUUUUCCCCUCUUUGCAUGCUAUAAAUUGCAUUAAAUCUACAAUUAACUCCACCUCUUUUAGGAUAGGAUGUCAGAAAGGCUUCAGGUGAGUAGGUGGGGAUGAACCUUUCCUAUGAGAGGACAUGGGUGGCCUCCUAACCCCUGGCAGCACUGGCUGUGGGCGACCUGUCACCUGCCACUUCUCCAAGGAGGAGAGACAAACCAAACAGUGUAAAUCUUUGGGAAAAGACAAAAGACAUUCAGAGUAAAGUUGGAUAAAAAGGGAAUAUCAAAAUGAAUGACUUUUUUAGCUUAAAAAUGCAUAUAUAAAGUAACUAUAGACGAUCACUUCAGAUAUUUAUCAUAAUGGGAAGAUGGGCUGAUUGUCACUUAUCCUAACAACUGAUGAAGUAACAAACGUUAAGAGAAGUUCUCGCUGGGGGCUGGCUCAGUUAGAAGAACAUGUGAUUCUUGAUCUCGGGGUCAUGACUUUGAGCCCUGCACUUGAUCUUGGGGUCAUGAGUUUGAGCCCUGCAUUGGGUGUAGUGAUGACUAAAUGAAUAAAUAAAUAAAUAAAUAAAUAAAUAAAUAAAUA
rnacentral:lncRNA from 12 species